rnacentral:rRNA from 1 species
UGAGCAACCUACCGAACUGUGGGGGAUAGCCGGCCUAACGGCCGAGUAAUACCGCAUACGCUCUCAGGGAGGCAUUUCUUUGAGAGGAAACCUACGGGACAGAUCGAGGGGCUCGCGGCCUAUCAGCUAGUUGGCGAGGUAACGGCUCACCAAGGCAACGACGGGUAGCUGGUCUGAGAGGAUGGCCAGCCACAUUGGGACUGAGAUACGGCCCAGACUCCGUACGGGAGNAGCG